GCGUGGAGGAUGAAGGUCUUCGGAUUGUAAACUCCUGUUGCUCGGGACGAAAAGCUUCGACCUAACACGUCGAGGUCUGACGGUACCGAGUGAGGAAGCCCCGGCUAACUCUGUGCCAGCAGCCGCGGUAAUACAGAGGGGGCAAGCGUUGUUCGGAAUUACUGGGCGUAAAGGGCGCGUAGGCGGCCUGCUAAGUCGAACGUGAAAUCCCUGGGCUCAACCCAGGAACUGCGUCCGAUACUGGUUGGCUUGAAUCCGGGAGAGGGAUGUGGAAUUCCAGGUGUAGCGGUGAAAUGCGUAGAUAUCUGGAGGAACACCGGUGGCGAAGGCGACAUCCUGGACCGGUAUUGACGCUGAGGCGCGAAAGCCAGGGGAGCAAACGGGAUUAGAUACCCCGGUAGUCCUGGCCCUAAACGAUGAAUGCUUGGUGUGGCGGGUAUCGAUCCCUGCCGUGCCGAAGCUAACGCAUUAAGCAUUCCGCCUGGGGAGUACGGUCGCAAGGCUG
rnacentral:rRNA from 1 species